CUACGGAGGAUCCGAGCGUUAUCCGGAUUUAUUGGGUUUAAAGGGUGCGUAGGUGGUUUGAUAAGUCAGCGGUGAAAGUUUGCAGCUUAACUGUAAAAAUGCCGUUGAAACUGUCGGACUUGAGUGUAAAUGAGGUAGGCGGAAUGCGUGGUGUAGCGGUGAAAUGCAUAGAUAUCGCGAGGAACUCCGAUAGCGCAGGCAGCCUCCCGUUGCUUUACUGACGCUCAUGCUCGAAGGUGCGGGUAUCGAACAGGAUUAGAUACCCUGGUAGUCCGCACUGUAAACGAUGGAUGCCCGCUGUUGGGCCUUUUGGGUUCAGUGGCCAAGAGAAAUCGUUAAGCAUCCCACCUGGGGAGUACGCCGGCAACGGUGAAACUCAAAUGAAUUGACGGGG
rnacentral:rRNA from 1 species